CGCCACUGUGGUGGAUUCAGAUCGUUAACAGUUACUUGGAUAACUGUGGUAAUUCUAGAGCUAAUACAUGCAAUUAAAACAUGAACCUUAUGGGACAUGUGCUUUUAUUAGGCUAAAACCAAGCGAUCGCAAGAUCGUUAUAUUGGUUGAACUCUAGAUAACAUGCAGAUCGUAUGGUCUUGUACCGACGACAGAUCUUUCAAAUGUCUGCCCUAUCAACUUUUGAUGGUAGUAUCUAGGACUACCAUGGUUGCAACGGGUAACGGGGAAUCAGGGUUCGAUUCCGGAGAGGGAGCCUGAGAAACGGCUACCACAUCUAAGGAAGGCAGCAGGCGCGUAAAUUACCCACUCCCAGCUCGGGGAGGUAGUGACGAAAAAUAACAAUACAGGACUCAUAUCCGAGGCCCUGUAAUUGGAAUGAGUACACUUUAAAUCCUUUAACAAGGACCAAUUGGAGGGCAAGUCUGGUGCCAGCAGCCGCGGUAAUUCCAGCUCCAAUAGCGUAUAUUAAAGUUGUUGCGGUUAAAACGUUCGUAGUUGAACUUGUGCUUCAUACGGGUAGUACAACUUACAAUUGUGGUUAGUACUAUACCUUUAUGUAUGUAAGCGUAUUACCGGUGGAGUUCUUAUAUGUGAUUAAAUACUUGUAUUUUUUCAUAUGUUCCUCCUAUUUAAAAACCUGCACUAGUGCUCUUAAACGAGUGUUAUUGUGGGCCGGUACUAUUACUUUGAACAAAUUAGAGUGCUUAAAGCAGGCUUCAAAUGCCUGAAUAUUCUGUGCAUGGGAUAAUGAAAUAAGACCUCUGUUCUGCUUUCAUUGGUUUUCAGAUCAAGAGUAAUGAUUAAUAGAAGCAGUUUGGGGGCAUUAGUAUUACGACGCGAGAGGUGAAAUUCUUGGGACCGUCGUAAGACUAACUUAGCGAAAGCAUUUGCCAAAGAUGUUUUCAUAAUCAAGAACGAAAGGUUAGAGGUUCGAAGGCGAUCAGAUACCGCCCUAGUUCUAAC
rnacentral:ncRNA from 1 species